CCUACGGGAGGCAGCAGUGGGGAAUAUUGGACAAUGGGCGAAAGCCUGAUCCAGCCAUGUCGCGUGUGUGAAGAAGGCCUUCGGGUUGUAAAGCACUUUCAGUGGGGAAGAAAGCCUUGGGGCUAAUACCCUCGAGGAAGGACAUCACCCACAGAAGAAGCACCGGCUAACUCCGUGCCAGCAGCCGCGGUAAUACGGAGGGUGCGAGCGUUAAUCGGAAUUACUGGGCGUAAAGCGCGCGUAGGCGGUCUGAUAAGCCGGUUGUGAAAGCCCCGGGCUCAACCUGGGAACGGCAUCCGGAACUGUCAGGCUAGAGUGCAGGAGAGGAAGGUAGAAUUCCCGGUGUAGCGGUGAAAUGCGUAGAGAUCGGGAGGAAUACCAGUGGCGAAGGCGGCCUUCUGGACUGACACUGACGCUGAGGUGCGAAAGCGUGGGUAGCAAACAGGAUUAGAUACCCCGUGUC
rnacentral:rRNA from 1 species